rnacentral:tRNA from 1 species
UGUCCAGGGAUGGGAAUCGAACCCACAAUAUGCCAUGUCCACUAGGCUACCCUAGAC